GGGGGUGACUGGUUUCGACUUGGGACGGUAGUUCCAGGGGAAGCGGGUCGAGGAUCCAUGCUUAUCUCGUUAACGACGCAUGGAAACCAAUAAGUGCCGAAAACAACCGCGCACAGUUCGCUCUCGCUGCCUGAUCAGCGACCGAACGGUCAGCCCGGACGUGCCUUCCGUCCGGUGACUGGCCUCAUUUAGAAGGCUUGCUGAGCCGCCUGUGUUUCAGGGGCGGUUCGGGACUUUACUGAAGCUGGGCUCGUUUGCGACAUGCUGACGUGAGUGCAAGAGCCGAGUAGAACGAUUAGUCAGCUGCACCCGGAGAAGCCCUGGUUCAUCUCUCGAGGACGCGGGUUCAAUUCCCGCCACCUCCACCA
rfam:Tessaracoccus lapidicaptus strain IPBSL-7 NODE_5_length_250005_cov_110.557, whole genome shotgun sequence.